CAGUAGCCGCGGUAAUACGUAGGUGGCAAGCGUUGUCCGGAAUUAUUGGGCGUAAAGGGAGCGCAGGUGGGACGGUAAGUCCGUCUUAAAAGGCAGGGGCUCAGCCCCUGUGAGGGAUGGAGACUAUCGAUCUUGAGUGCCGGAGAGGAAAGCGGAAUUCCCAGUGUAGCGGUGAAAUGCGUAGAUAUUGGGAAGAACACCAGUGGCGAAGGCGGCUUUCUGGACGGCAACUGACACUGAGGCUCGAAAGCCAGGGGAGCGAACGGGAUUAGAUACCCGGGUAGUCCCUGUCUCUUAUACA
rnacentral:rRNA from 1 species